rnacentral:rRNA from 1 species
UGGCGCACGGGUGCGUAACGCGUAACCAACCUACCCGAAUCUGGGGGAUAGCCCGCCGAAAGGCGGAUUAAUACCGCAUAAAACUGCAGCCUGGCAUCAGGUAACAGUUAAAGAUUUAUUGGAUUCGGAUGGGGUUGCGUGCCAUUAGCUAGUUGGCGGGGUAACGGCCCACCAAGGCGACGAUGGCUAGGGGAGCUGAGAGGCUGGUCCCCCACACGGGCACUGAGAUACGGGCCCGACUCCUACGGGAGGCAGCAGUAGGGAAUAUUGGGCAAUGGGCGAGAGCCUGACCCAGCCAUGCCGCGUGCAGGAUGAAGGCUUUCUGAGUCGUAAACUGCUUUUACCAGGGAAGAAAAAAGGGGAUGCGUCCUCUACUGACGGUACCUGGUGAAUAAGCGCCGGCUAACUACGUGCCAGCAGCCGCGGUAAUACGUAGGGCGCAAGCGUUAUCCGGAAUUAUUGGGCGUAAAGAGCUCGUAGGCGGUUUGUCGCGUCUGCCGUGAAAGUCCGGGGCUCAACUCCGGAUCUGCGGUGGGUAC